CGGAGGAUCCAAGCGUUAUCCGGAAUCAUUGGGUUUAAAGGGUCCGUAGGCGGUUUAAUAAGUCAGUGGUGAAAGCCUAUCGCUUAACGAUAGAACGGCCAUUGAUACUGUUAGACUUGAAUUAGUGGGAAGUAACUAGAAUAUGUAGUGUAGCGGUGAAAUGCUUAGAUAUUACAUGGAAUACCAAUUGCGAAGGCAGGUUACUAUCACUAUAUUGACGCUGAUGGACGAAAGCGUGGGGAGCGAACAGGAUUAGAUACCCUGGUAGUCCACGCCGUAAACGAUGGAUACUAGCUGUUCGGAGCAAUCUGAGUGGCUAAGCGAAAGUGAUAAGUAUCCCACCUGGGGAGUACGUUCGCAAGAGUG
rnacentral:rRNA from 1 species